GAUGAACGCUGGCGGCGUGCCUAAUACAUGCAAGUCGAACGAAACUUCUUUAUCACCGAGUGCUUGCACUCACCGAUAAAGAGUUGAGUGGCGAACGGGUGAGUAACACGUGGGCAACCUGCCCAAAAGAGGGGGAUAACACUUGGAAACAGGUGCUAAUACCGCAUAACCAUAGUUACCGCAUGGUAACUAUGUAAAAGGUGGCUAUACUACCGCUUUUGGAUGGGCCCGCGGCGCAUUAGCUAGUUGGUAGGGUAAAGGCUUACCAAGGCAAUGAUGCGUAGCCGAAUUGAGAGGUUGAUCGGCCACAUUGGGACUGAGACACGGCCCAAACUCAUACGGGAGGCAGCAGUAGGGAAUCUUCCACAAUGGGCGAAAGCCUGAUGGAGCAACGCCGCGGGGGUGAAGAAGGUCUUCGGAUCGUAAACCCUGUUGUUAGAGAAGAAAGUGCGUGAGAGUAACUGUUCACGUUUCGACGGUAUCUAACCAGAAAGCCACGGCUAACUACGUG
rnacentral:rRNA from 1 species